GCCGGGAUGGUCUACCCGGUUAAGGCGUCGCCACGGACAGGCGAAGGUGCGGGUUCAAUCCCCGCCCCUGGCC
rfam:Ixodes scapularis strain Wikel colony gcontig_1108378330452, whole genome shotgun sequence.